rnacentral:lncRNA from 1 species
CCUAAAGGGGAACUAAAGUUCCCCUUUAGGGGAAGAAGAAGAAGAAGAAGAACAAGAAGGGGAAAUCAUCCCCCUCUGGUUCUUCCCCUAAUGGGGAACUUUAGGGGAAGAACCAAAGGUGCCCCAAAGGGGAUGACUUCUUUCCCCUUUAGGGGAUGAUAUCCCCUAAAGGGUUGUCCCCUUUAGGGUUGUCUUCUUUAGUUCCCCUUUAGGGGAUGAACCAAAGGCAUCCCCGAAGGGGAAGAACACUAAAGUUCCCCUUUAGGGGAAGAACCCCAAAGUCAUCCCCGAAGGGUAACCCCUACGUCUUCCCCUUCGGGGAACACUAAAGUGCUCAUCCCCUUUAGGGGAACCGAAGGGGAAGACGAAGGGGGGUUCCUUUUUAGGGGAAGAACACUAAAGGGGAAGACGAAGGGUACAGCCAACGAAGUUUGUUGGCCACAACGUGUAGAAUGUAGUUUAACGAGUAACUGGGCGUAGUCCCUAACGUAAACUAAGCCUAGUUGUAGUAGGAAACUCGGAUAGUGUUCCUUCGGGAUUGGCGUAACGACAAUGUUUACCUUGUAUGUUUAGUUUAGUGACUACAAUAAACGUAGGGCUACGUUGGCGCACUUGACUACAAUACAACUACGUUCUUUGCUGGUAGUUUUACCCAACGUACGCUCGAAAAGCGACCUACCAGCCUGCGGUUGGAUAGUCGCAGCGCUGUUAGCUUAAGCUAAAUAUUGUGAACACAUUUAGCCAACAGCUCUUAACUACGUUAAACUACAACAAACAUAAGUGACUAAUGUUAUAAAGGCCCACGGNCCAAACGAGUCCUUAGCACAGUUUUUGGCUAACCGUUUAGAGCGAGUUUCUAUUACUAUCCAAUCUUUAGCCGAAUCGUCCAACGGACCUUAACCACGUUAAGUUACUAAGGUUCACCUUGGGAAACGAGCUACUAACGGGCGAAGCCCGUUGUCUAAACGUAAGCCGUUGGCAUCUAUUAUAAAAUUGCUUAUUUGGUAUGAAAUCUUGCAUCUAUGUUUAGAUUCAUAAAAUAUAACGAUGCUUUCUCUUAAAACAA